UGAAGCUAGCAUUGUGAAGGUUGCUUGGAUCCCUCAUGAGUUAGGGGAUGCUGUUGCUUGCAUUUGUGAAGAUGGGAGUUUAUCCAUAUGGGAAGAGCUUGUAGAAGGUACACAACCUUUAAGGGGUGAAGGCCAAGAAUCAAGCUUUAUUUUGGGUUUCACUUCUAAUACUCCACAGCUCAAUUCCCUCAAGAGUUCCAUAGGUGUGGGAAUUUGAUCCAGCUCAU